rnacentral:rRNA from 1 species
AUUGAACGCUGGCGGCGUGCUUAACACAUGCAAGUCGUGCGGUAACAGGCGUAGCAAUACGUGCUGACGAGCGGCGAACGGGUGCGUAAUACAUGGGAAUCUGCCCUUUAGUGGGGAAUAACCCGGCGAAAGCCGGGCUAAUGCCGCAUAAGAUCUUCGGAUGAAAGCGGGGGAUCGUAAGACCUCGCGCUGAUGGAUGAGCCCAUGUCGGAUUAGCUAGUGGUGAGGUAACGGCUCACCAAGGCGACGAUCCGUAGCUGAUCUGAGAGGACGGCCAGCCACACUGGGACUGAGACACGGCCCAGACUCCUACGGGAGGCAGCAGUGGGGAAUAUUGGACAAUGGGCGAAAGCCUGAUCCAGCGACGCCGCGUGUGUGAAGAAGGCCUGCGGGUUGUAAAGCACUUUCGAU